CUGAUGGAGCACGCCGCGUGAGUGAAGAAGGGUUUCGGCUCGUAAAACUCUGUUGUUAAAGAAGAACGUAUCUGAGAGUAACUGUUCAGAUAGUGACGGUAUUUAACAAGAAAGCCACGGCUAACUACGUGCCAGCAGCCGCGGUAAUACGUAGGUGGCAAGCGUUAUCCGGAUUUAUUGGGCGUAAAGGGAGUGCAGGCGGUUAUUUAAGUCUGAUGUGAAAGCCUUCGGCUUAACCGGAGAAGGGCAUCGGAAACUGGAUAACUUGAGUGCAGAAGAGGGUAGUGGAACUCCAUGUGUAGCGGUGGAAUGCGUAGAUAUAUGGAAGAACACCAGUGGCGAAGGCGGCUACCUAGUCUGUAACUGACGCUGAGGCUCGAAAGCAUGGGUAGCAAACAGGAUUAGAUACCCUGGUAGUCCAUGCCGUAAACGAUGAAUACUAGGUGUUAGGGGGUUUCCGCCCCUUAGUGCCGCAGCUAACGCAAUAAGUAUUCCGCCUGGGGAGUACGACCGCAAGGUUGAAACUCAAAGGAAUUGACGGGGACCCGCACAAGCGGUGGAGCAUGUGGUUUAAUUCGAAGCUACGCGAAGAACCUUACCAGGGCUUGACAUCUUCUGCUAAUCCGAGAGAUCGGACGUUCCCUUCGGGGACGGAAAGACAGGUGGUGCAUGGUUGUCGUCAGCUCGUGUCGUGAGAUGUUGGGUUAAGUCCCGCAACGAGCGCAACCCUUAUGAUUAUUUGCCA
rnacentral:rRNA from 2 species